rnacentral:rRNA from 1 species
GACGAACGCUGGCGGCGUGCCUAAUACAUGCAAGUAGGACGCAGUUGCGAACGGGUGAGUAACGCGUAGGUAACCGCCUAUUAGAGGGGGAUAACUAUUGGAAACGAUAGGUAAUACCGCAUACUAAUAGAUGGACCUGCGUUGUAUUAGCUAGUAGGUGUGGUAAUUGCCUACCUAGGCAACGAUACAUAGCCCACCUGAGAGUGAUAUUGGCCCAACUUGGACUGAGAAACGGCCCAGACUCCUACGUGAGGCAGCAGUAGGGAAACGUCGGCAAUGGGGGGAACCCUGACCGAGCAACGCCGCGUGAGUGAAGAAGGUUUUCGGAUCGUAAAGCUCUGUUGUUAAGGAAGCGGUACUUAACCAGAAAGGGACGGCUAACUACGUGCCAGCAGCGCGGUAAUAC